rfam:Lactobacillus mellis strain Hon2 genomic scaffold Hon2_scaffold2, whole genome shotgun sequence.
AAUCUAAGAAGAGGUUGCCUAACUUAUUAGUAGAUUUGUGAAGAUAAUGCUAUAUCUAUGAAGCAAAUUCAAAGGAUUUUAGGCCGAAAUUAACAACUGUAGCAUCAGUAGUUAAUUGGGACUAGACUAAAUAAGCCUAGGACUGUCGCAACUAAAAGGUUGCGGAGCGCUAUCGACGAU